rnacentral:rRNA from 1 species
GGGUGAGUAACACGUAGGUGACCUACCUAACAGUGGGGGAUAACUCGAAGAAAUUCGAGCUAAUACCGCAUACGAACAACCGACUUGAAUGAGGUUGUUGAAAGAGUGCCUCUGCAUAUGCACUCGCUGACUGAUGGGCCUGCGGGACAUUAGCUUGAUGGUGGGGUAACGGCCUACCUUGGCGACGAUGUCUAGCGGAUCUGAGAGGAUGAUCCGCCACACUGGAACUGAGACACGGUCCAGACUCC